rnacentral:rRNA from 1 species
UACGUAGGCAGCGAGCGUUGUUCGGAAUUACUGGGCGUAAAGAGUGUGUAGGCGGUGCUCCCAGUCUGUUGUGAAAUCUCCCGGCUUAACUGGGAGGGUGCAGCGGAAACUAGAGUGCUAGAGGGUGGGAGAGGUAAGCGGAAUUCCCGGUGUAGUGGUGAAAUGCGUAGAUAUCGGGAGGAACACCAGUGGCGAAGGCGGCAUCCUGGCCAUGUCCUGACGCUCAGGGGCGAAAGCGUGGGGAGCAAACCGG